UACGUAGGGGGCAAGCGUUGUCCGGAUUUAUUGGGCGUAAAGAGCGUGUAGGCGGCUUUGCAAGUCCGUUGUGAAAACUCGAGGCUCAACCUCGAGACGCCGGUGGAAACUGCAAAGCUAGAGUCCGGAAGAGGAGAGUGGAAUUCCUGGUGUAGCGGUGAAAUGCGCAGAUAUCAGGAGGAACACCUAUAGCGAAGGCAGCUUGCUGGGACGUUACUGACGCUAAGGCGCGAAAGCGUGGGGAGCGAACAGG
rnacentral:rRNA from 1 species